UAGGGAAUAUUGGACAAUGGGUGAGAGCCUGAUCCAGCCAUGCCGCGUGCAGGAAGAAGGCGUUAUGCGUUGUAAACUGCUUUUGCCAGGGGAUAAAAUGACCGUGCGCGGUUAAUUGAAGGUACCUGGUGAAUAAGCCACGGCUAACUACGUGCCAGCAGCCGCGGUAAUACGUAGGUGGCAAGCGUUGUCCGGAUUUAUUGGGUUUAAAGGGUGCGUAGGUGGCCCUGUAAGUCAGUGGUGAAAUAUCUCAGCUUAACUGAGAGGGUGCCAUUGAUACUGCAGGGCUUGAGUACAGAUGAGGUAGGCGGAAUUGACGGUGUAGCGGUGAAAUGCAUAGAUAUCGUCAAGAACACCGAUAGCGAAGGCAGCUUACCAAGCUGUAACUGACACUGAGGCACGAAAGUGUGGGGAUCAAACAGGAUUAGAUACCCUUGUAGUCCCUGAGCGGGCUGGCAAGGCGCAU
rnacentral:rRNA from 1 species